rnacentral:lncRNA from 1 species
CCCGAAGGAGCAAUGAGGCUGAAGAGGCAGCUGUGGUUCAGGGGAGAGGCCCAGGAUAGAGCUAUGCAUUUGAGCCCAUGGACCCCAAGAGUGGAUGGACCCCAAGAUCUAGGAGACCAAGCCUAAAGGAGAAAACAACAGUCAGGAACAGCACUGGAAGCCAACAGGCCAGAUGGAGUUAGUCCUGAAGUCAAACUUUCAGAAAGAAAAAUGUCUUAGUCUUCAAGCACCCCAGAAUUCUAGCCUGGGACAAUCCAGGGCAGGCUGGCUGAAGCUCAAAGCAGCAAGACGGCCGCCAAAAUGUAAUCUACUCACUGGCUGAUUCUCCAAAAUACCCUCCCAGUCUAUGCAUCCUGGGCUCUGUCCCUAAGAGGAAGCCAGACCUUUCUGCUCACCAACUCGUCCCCCUGCACCUUCCUGAUUGAAGCCACAUUCCACGUCAUGCCUGUACAUCUUCCCCUCGCCCUUCAGACCCAGCCCUUUUUUCAAAAUGGUCACAGGGUUCAACUCAGCCUAACUGGACACAGGCCUGGUCCCUGCAGCAUCGAAGAAGCCAGGGGUAGCAUCUUUGGCCAAGUCACCCACUGACCCCCACGGCCUGGCAACUUUUGUGCUUCCCACCUGCAUGUCACCUCUGGGGGUCCCUUCCCUCCAAGAACGUUGCCAUCAGGUGGUCUUUCUGAUUUCCUCUGCUUCAGCAAAGGCCUUAUUUUUUACUCAAGAGCCUGGCUUCCUGAUCUGCACAAAAGAGACUCUCCAGAUGUGUCCUGGAAAAUCCCCCAAAAGUAGGGGGAAAGGUCCCAGUCAAAGCCAAAGCAAGGAAGAGGAAAAAGAGGAAGGAGGAAACUGUCAUGGGAUAAGAUUUUGUCACAUAUCUGUAAUUAAAGGUCCUCUUAUAUGUGCAUACACAAACACACGCACGUAUACGCAUAACACGGUUAACAAAUAUUAAGAUCUUAACAGUGGCCUUCUCUAGGAAAGAUGGGAUUAUGGGUGACUUUGAUUCGCCUCUAUCCUAGCUCUCCUCUUACUAGCUGUGUGAUUUAGAGCAGGUUAGCUAGCCUCUCAGUUACUCAGUUUCUUCACCUGUAAAAUGGGGCCAUCAUUCUUCUCAGUGUACUAUAUUGUGAAGAUUAAAUGAGAUUAUACAUAUCAAGAUCUCAGAACAGUGCCAGGCACACGUAGUAGAGGUUGAGCAUUCUUAAUCUGAAAACCAAAAAUCUGAAAUGCUCCAAAGUCCAAAACUUUUUGAAUGCCAACAUGACACCACAAGUAGGAAAUUCUACACCUGACCCCAUGUGAUGGGUCGCAGUCAAAAGACCAUCAAAACUUUGUUUUGUGAACAAAAUUAUUAAUAAUAUUGUAUAAAAUUACCUUCAGGCUACACAUGUAAGAUGUAUAUGAAACAUUAAUAAAUUUUGUGUUUAGACUUGGGCCCCAACCCCAAGAUAUGUCAUCAUGCAUAUGCAUAUAUUCCAAAAUAAAAAAAAAUCCAAAAUCCAAAACACUUCUGGUCCCAGGAUUUAGGAUAAGGAAUAUGCAACUUGUAACAGAAUCAACAAAUACAACAACUAUAAUUAUUUCUCCCUGUCUCCUUAGCCUUUUGCAAAGGGUAUGCAUUGCUUUGUAAAUUUUUUUAAGCGUUGUAUUGUUUUAAUUCAAAAAGUAGCUGGCACGGGGGCUCACGCCUUUAAUCUCAGCACUUUGGGAAGCCGAAACGGGUGGAUCACGAGGUUAGGAGUUCGAGACCAG